rnacentral:rRNA from 1 species
UCCCUGACCGGCGAACGGGUGCGUAACACGUGAGCGACCUUCCGUCUUCUGGGGGAUAGCCGGCCCAACGGCCGGGUAAUACCGCAUACGCUCCCUUGGCCGCAUGGCGGGGGGAGGGAAACUUCUGGGGGAGGACGAGGGGCUCGCGGCCUAUCAGCUAGUUGGGGGGGUAACGGGCCUCCCAAGGCGACGACGGGUAGCUGGUCUGAGAGGAUGGCCAGCCACAUUGGGACUGAGAGACGGCCCAG